rnacentral:tRNA from 1 species
GUCAGGAUGGCCGAGCGGUCUAAGGCGCCAGACUCAAGACUCAAUAUGUCUUCUCGUAAUAUAGCGCGAGAGAGAAUUCUGGUCCACGUAUGUGGGCGUGGGUUCGAAUCCCACUUCUGACA